rnacentral:rRNA from 1 species
CCUACGGGGGGCUGCAGUGAGCAAUAUUGGUCAAUGGGCGUAAGCCUGAACCAGCCAAGUCGCGUGAGGGAUGAAGGUUCUAUGGAUCGUAAACCUCUUUUAUAAGGGAAUAAAGUGCGGGACGUGUCCCGUUUUGUAUGUACCUUAUGAAUAAGGAUCGGCUAACUCCGUGCCAGCAGCCGCGGUAAUACGGAGGAUCCGAGCGUUAUCCGGAUUUAUUGGGUUUAAAGGGUGCGUAGGUGGCCUUUUAAGUCAGCGGGGAAAGUCUGUGGCUCAACCAUAGAAGUGCCGUUGAGACUGGGAGGCUUGAGUAUGUUUGAGGCAGGCGGAAUGCGUGGUGUGGCGGUGAAAUGAUUAGAUAUAACGCAGAACCCCGAUUGCGAAGGCAGCCUGCCAAGCCAUGACUGACGCUGAUGCACGAAAGCGUGGGGAUCAAACAGGAUUAGAUACCCCAGUAGUC